rnacentral:rRNA from 1 species
GGUUAAGCGACUAAGCGUACACGGUGGAUGCCCUGGCAGUCAGAGGCGAUGAAGGACGUGCUAAUCUGCGAUAAGCGUCGGUAAGGUGAUAUGAACCGUUAUAACCGGCGAUUUCCGAAUGGGGAAACCCAGUGUGAUUCGUCACACUAUCAUUAACUGAAUCCAUAGGUUAAUGAGGCGAACCGGGGGAACUGAAACAU